rnacentral:rRNA from 1 species
GUAGCACUCUAGGGAGACUGCCUUCGCAAGGAGGAGGAAGGGUUGAGGACGACGUCAAGUCAUCAUGGCCCUUACGGCCAGGGCUACACACGUGCUACAAUGGGGCGUACAGAGAGCUGCGAUACCGCGAGGUGGAGCCAAUCUCUUAAAGCGUCUCUCAGUUCGGAUUGUUCUCUGCAACUCGAGAACAUGAAGCUGGAAUCACUAGUAAUCGCAGAUCAGCUAUACUGCGGUGAAUACGUUCCCGGGGCUU